UACGGGGGGGGCAAGCGUUGUUCGGAAUUACUGGGCGUAAAGGGCUCGUAGGUGGCCAACUAAGUCAGACGUGAAAUCCCUCAGCUUAACUUGGGAAUUGCAUUCGAUACUGGUUAGCUAGAGUGUGGGAGAGGAUGGUAGAAUUCCAGGUGUAGCGGUGAAAUGCGUAGAGAUCUGGAGGAAUACCGAUGGCGAAGGCAGCCAUCUGGCCUAACACUGACGCUGAGGUGCGAAAGCAUGGGGAGCAAACAGG
rnacentral:rRNA from 1 species